rnacentral:rRNA from 1 species
AUUGAACGCUAGCGGGAUGCUUUACACAUGCAAGUCGAACGGCAGCGCGGACUUCGGUCUGGCGGCGAGUGGCGAACGGGUGAGUAAUGUAUCGGAACGUGCCCAGUAGCGGGGGAUAACUACGCGAAAGCGUAGCUAAUACCGCAUACGCCCUACGGGGUAAAGCAGGGGAUCGUAAGACCUUGCACUAUUGGAGCGGCCGAUAUCGGAUUAGCUAGUUGGUGAGGUAACGGCUCACCAAGGCGACGAUCCGUAGCUGGUUUGAGAGGACGACCAGCCACACUGGGACUGAGACACGCCCCAGACUCCUACGGGAGGCAGCAGUGGGGAAUUUUGGACAAUGGGGGGAACCCUGAUCCAGCCAUCCCGCGUGUGCGAUGAAGGCCUUCGGGUUGUAAAGCACUUUUGGCAGGAAAGAAACGUCGCGGGCUAAUACCCCGUGGAACUGACGGUACCUGCAGAAUAAGCACCGGCUAACUACGUG